GCUAUCGGAUUGAUACUAAGCCAUGCGAGUCAUUGUAGCAAUACAAGGCAUACGGCUCAGUAACGCGUAGUCAACCUAACCUAUGGACGGGAAUAACCUCGGGAAACUGAGAAUAAUGCCCGAUAGAACAUUAUGCCUGGAAUGGUUUAUGUUCCAAAUGAUUUAUCGCCGUAGGAUGGGACUGCGGCCUAUCAGUUUGUUGGUGAGGUAAUGGCCCACCAAGACUAUUACAGGUACGGGCUCUGAGAGGAGUAGCCCGGAGAUGGGUACUGAGACACGGACCCAGGCCCUAUGGGGCGCAGCAGGCGAGAAAACUUUGCAAUGUGCGAAAGCACGACAAGGUUAAUCCGAGUGGUUUCUGCUAAAGGAACCUUUUGGCAGUCCUAGAAACACUGAUGAAUAAGGGGUGGGCAAGUUCUGGUGUCAGCCGCCGCGGUAAAACCAGCACCUCAAGUGGUCAGGAUGAUUAUUGGGCCUAAAGCAUCCGUAGCCGGCUCUGUAAGUUUUCGGUUAAAUCUGUACGCUCAACGUACAGGCUGCCGGGAAUACUGCAAAGCUUGGGAGUGGGAGAGGUAGACGGUACUCGGUAGGAAGGGGUAAAAUCCUUUGAUCUAUUGAUGACCACCUGUGGCGAAGGCGGUCUACCAGAACACGUCCGACGGUGAGGGAUGAAAGCUGGGGGAGCAAACCGGAUUAGAUACCCGGGUAGUCCCAGCUGUAAACCAUGCAAACUCAGUGAUGCAUUGGCUUGUGGCCAAUGCAGUGCUGCAGGGAAGCCGUUAAGUUUGCCGCCUGGGAAGUACGUACGCAAGUAUGAAACUUAAAGGAAUUGGCGGGGGAGCACCAC
rnacentral:rRNA from 1 species